UACGGGGGGGGCAAGCGUUGUUCGGAAUUACUGGGCGUAAAGGGCUCGUAGGUGGCCAACUAAGUCCGACGUGAAAUCCCCAGGCUUAACCUGGGAACUGCGUCGGAUACUGGAUGGCUUGAAUUCGGGAGAGGGAUGCAGAAUUCCAGGUGUAGCGGUGAAAUGCGUAGAUAUCUGGAGGAAUACCGGUGGCGAAGGCGGCAUCCUGGACCGACAUUGACGCUGAGGAGCGAAAGCUAGGGGAGCAAACGGG
rnacentral:rRNA from 1 species